rnacentral:rRNA from 1 species
CCUCCCACGACCGGCCGCGUCGACGUGCAGAAGAGGAAAGUGGAAUUCCAUGUGUAGCGGUGAAAUGCGCAGAGAUAUGGAGGAACACCAGUGUCGAAGGCGACUUUCUGGUCUGUAAAUGACGCUGAUGUGCGAAAGCGUGUGGAUCAAACAGGAUUAGAUACCCUGGUAGUCCACGCCGUAAACGAUGAGUGCUAAGUGUUAGGGGGUUUCCGCCCCUUAGUGCUGCAGCUAACGCAUUAAGCACUCCGCCUGUGGAGUACGACCGCAAGGUUGAAACUCAAAGGAAUU